GAUACGGGCAGGUGGGGUCAGGUGGGGUCAGAUACGGGCAGGGGGGGUCAGGUGGGAUCAGGUGGGGUCAGGUGGGGUCAGAUACAGGCAGGUGGGAUCAGGUGGGGUCAGAUACGGGCAGGUGGGGUCAGAUACGGGCAGGUGGGAUCAGGUGGGGUCAGAUACGGGCAGGUGGGGUCAGGUGGGGUCAGAUACGGGCAGGUGGGAUCAGGUGGGGUCAGAUACGGGCAGGUGGGGUCAGAUACAGGCAGGUGGGGUCAGAUACGGGCAGGUGGGGUCAGGUGGGGUCAGAUACGGGCAGGUGGGAUCAGGUGGGGUCAGGUGGGGUCAGAUACAGGCAGGUGGGGUCAGGUGGGGUCAGAUACAGGCAGGUGGGGUCAGAUACGGGCAGGUGGGGUCAGGUGGGAUCAGGUGGGGUCAGGUGGGGUCAGAUACAGGCAGGUGGGAUCAGGUGGGGUCAGAUACAGGCAGGUGGGGUCAGAUACGGGCAGGUGGGGUCAGAUACGGGCAGGUGGGGUCAGAUACGGGCAGGUGGGAUCAGGUGGGGUCAGAUACGGGCAGG